CAGCAGCCGCGGUAAUACGUAGGGUGCGAGCGUUAAUCGGAUUUACUGGGCGUAAAGCGUGCGCAGGCGGCCCGUUAAGACAGGUGUGAAAUCCCUGGGCUCAACCUAGGAAUUGCGCUUGUGACUGGCGGGCUCGAGUACGGUAGAGGGGGGUGGAAUUCCUGGUGUAGCAGUGAAAUGCGGAGAGAUCAGGAGGAACACCGAUGGCGAAGGCAGCCCCCUGGGCCUGUACUGACGCUCAUGCACGAAAGCGUGGGGAGCAAACAGGAUUAGAUACCCUGGUAGUCCACGCCCUAAACGAUGGGUACUAGCCGUUUGGUGCGCGAUAGCGCUGAGUGGCGAAGCUAACGCGUGAAGUACCCCGCCUGGGGAGUACGGCCGCAAGGUUGAAACUUAAAGGAAUUGGCGGG
rnacentral:rRNA from 1 species